CGUCUCUAUGGGUGAGUGCUAGGGGGGUUGUUAUUAGUGUAAGGAUGUCUUGUAACUUGAUCAACCAAGAGAGUGAAUCUAUUUGGCAAAUUUAAAAGAAUAUGAUGGAGAAUGAGAAGGGAUAUUAUUAUAUUUAAUUUCCAAUUUUAAUGCGCAUUUUAGGAAACACAAUUAGUGAGUUAUUUAGAGUAUUUUUCUAUUUCAACUAGCAUUAGUUUAAACCAUAAAUAAAGGGUUCUAUGCAAUGUGAUUGGAACAACCUUUGAUUAUGAAAUAAAUUGAUAUUUCCCUCUUAUUUCUUCUCUCUUCAUCUUCCCCUCUUCUUCUCUCCCCUUUCCCCUUCUCCUAUAAUUCUCUUAUUACAUCCUGCAUCACAAUAACUCUGGCAAUGUUCCCAAUAACAAGUCUCAACGAUGGAUAUAAGAAGGUUGUGUAAGUUGACAGCCAACUUACAAUUAAAUCCUUCACAUCAUUUCCUUGGUCAGUCAAUACCAGUUAUGCAUUUCAUCAAACCCAAAGUAUAGUGAAGACUUGGCAAGUAUCAGCUAGGGCAUACGCAUUGAAGGAAACAACGCACAGUACCUGAAUAUGCCAAGAACUAAUCUUGGGUUGGUAAAAAUGUAAAUUUAGGUAAUAGAUUUUCAGUAGGAACUUGGAAUAUAGGGAAACUAAAGAAUCCUACAAAUUGUAGAUGUGAUGCAUAGAAUGAAGUCAACAUACCUUGCUUACAAGAUGUGGAAUAGGUAAGAAAGAAGGCAAAAAAUUUGGGUAUACAAUCUAUAAACUUCAGCAUGCAUGUAUGGAGGAAAGAAAAAAAUAGCAAGAUAAUGUAAAUCAAGAUAUGAAAAAUAGUACAUAUUAUUUUUGAAAAAGUAGGCUGAAUACAAGGGACUUUCAAGGAUAAAUUUUUGAAGAACGAAGGUUAGAUGUAAAUGGAAUGAUAACCAAACAGGGAAUCAAGAGGUCCAUUUCGUUAGGAACCUGGCAAAGAAAGUCAUAGGAAAUUUUAAGGGUAAAAACCUACCUAAUAAAGAAACACAAUGGUCGAACUAGAAGGUUCUAGUGGAAAUUAAGGAUAAUGUAUGGAGGUUUUACAAGAUAUAAGCUAGCAAAACAGGAAACCAAGAAGGUAAUUCAGGAGCCCUAGGAAGGAACAUUUGAGAAGUAAAAUGAUUUACUUGGAACCAGGGAUUACAAGAUAUAUUGAGCAAGGGAAAAGAAAGUAUAGAUCUAAACCAAGUUAAAUAAAUGUACUUUAAGGAUAGAAACUAAAAGUUCAAUUUCAUUGUUAUUUCUAGAAAUUAUUUAAUAGAACACAUAAAGUACAUCUUGUGAAUCGGUCAAACUCUAUUGAAGAUCAAAAAAGCUAAUUAUAAUAGAAGCAUCUAAAUUUUGAAAGUGAAGAUUAUGAAGUGAUUUCAUAAAGAUAAGAAAAACAAUUUAUUUGGAUUAACACCUGUCAAAGUAUGUAAGUCUUUAUUUGGGGUGGGUAUUUAUAUUAGACAAAAAAGUUUUAACGGGAUAUUAACGAGUAAAAAUGUUUUUGAUGAAUAAAAGAAGAACGUUAUAAUGCUUAGUUUACAAAAUAAUCAAGGUUUUAUUCACAAGUUCACAAAUUGUAUAUACGUAUUGAACUCAUAAUCCUACCAUAACCAGUUUGGUUUUAUGCCAUGAUGUUUGAUUCAAUUAGUCAUACUUGAUAGUGUUGGAUCGAAUAGAGAGGGGAAAAGAGGACUCAUGUUACUGGUUUCAAGCUUAUUUAGAAUAAUGUGCAUCCUGUUGUUGCUGUUGUAAUGGAGUUUCAGAUGAUAAUCAUGUAAGGCACCAUAUUUUAUUGUCAUGAAAGUGAUCAAUAUUUAUAAUGAUCGGACUCGGGUACUGGUACAUAUCUAAGUGUCGGGUCUUUUAUUUUCAAAAAUGUAGAAUACAAAGACAUGGUUAAAAAGAAUCAAAUUCGAACACGGAUACAUGAAUACGUCUUUCAAAUGUCAAUUUUUUUCCAACCUAAAAUGUCAUUUUGAGUACAUAUUUAUUAUUUAAUCAAAACUUUGAGCUACAAAUAAAAAUUACCAUGACAGAGUGUCCGAAGAGUGUUAAUAUUCGACACGUGUCCACAGUAAAGAGUUUGUUUCUAGUUCCGAAAAAUAAGAAAUUGAUGAUAUGGUUGGACCAUAAUGACAAAGGAAAAUGAUUAACGAAUCAAUUUAAGCUAUGUUUUGGUGGCCUUAAAUUAAGCCUGGGACUUAAAAUUCAUGGAAAAUCAAUUAGAUCUGAAAGAUAACAUUUCUAAAUCCAAUUCCAAAGCUACAAUUCGAUCUAACCAAUGCAGCUUCAGAGACAACCAUAAUGCAGGUAUAACAUUUUCAACAGAAAAGUGCAAGGUGAAACUUCCUAAUAAGGUCCUAUGCCUGAAAUAUCAUGUUCUGUGGGUCAGUUUUGCCCGGAUAUAAUUGUGAAAUGGCCAUUGAUCCUUUUUUGGACUAUAAUAUCAAUAAACUAGAUGACUUCUGUGGUUCUACCACUUCAUAAGAGAAUAGCAAUUUUUAUGGAUACAUGGUACAGUCUCUAUUACCAGUUCUAAUUAUCAAGCAUAAAUUAUUGCACCUAUAUAAUGGACACAAGAAUCCACAACAUUUUUAUUUUACUGCGUUCACUUAAUUAAUUCUGUCACAAUAAAUAAUGAAAUUCCACGAAAUUCCUCAUUGCAGAGUUUCAAAACGAUCUGAAAGCCACUAAUUUAGCUUUGCAGCAAAAAAAAAAAAAAUAAUAAUAAUAAUAAAUAAAUAAAAAUAAAAAAUUUGCCCAAUCACCCAAAUAUGGGAACAAUAAACGUAUCUCCGUCAAUUCACAGAUUUUAGUAAUCUAAAUGUUAAUUCAAUUCGAAGAAUGACAAAAAAAAUACCUGAAAUUGAUGUGACGCAGUAUAUAAAUACCCUAAAGGCAGUAGUGGAGUCCUGUUCACCACGGUAUGUGUCGUUGAUCAAUCCUCGUGACUGGGAUUUUCCUGAUUAGGAGAGUUACAGUUAGACGAUCAUGUUAGCCUGGAACCAUGGUUAGUAGCAAUGGAUUGAGAGUGAGUGGGAAGAUUGAGGCCAAAGGGUCACAAGCAAUCUGUGGAGAUCAAGGAUAAUCCAGAUCAUGGUUCUUUCUCAAUACAAUUAAUUCUAUUUUUUCUGUGGAUGAUGCAAUCAUGUAAUUGAAGUUUAUUUUAAUGCUAUUUAACUUGCAACCGCAUUUUGAUCUGAUUGGCUAAAUCAAAA
rnacentral:lncRNA from 1 species